ACUCCUGCGGGAGGCAGCAGUGGGGAAUAUUGGACAAUGGGCGCAAGCCUGAUCCAGCCAUGCCGCGUGAGUGAUGAAGGCCCUAGGGUUGUAAAGCUCUUUCACCGGUGAAGAUAAUGACGGUAACCGGAGAAGAAGCCCCGGCUAACUUCGUGCCAGCAGCCGCGGUAAUACGAAGGGGGCUAGCGUUGUUCGGAUUUACUGGGCGUAAAGCGCACGUAGGCGGACUAUUAAGUCAGGGGUGAAAUCCCGGGGCUCAACCCCGGAACUGCCUUUGAUACUGGUAGUCUUGAGUUCGAGAGAGGUGAGUGGAAUUCCGAGUGUAGAGGUGAAAUUCGUAGAUAUUCGGAGGAACACCAGUGGCGAAGGCGGCUCACUGGCUCGAUACUGACGCUGAGGUGCGAAAGCGUGGGGAGCAAACAGGAUUAGAAACCCUUGUAGUCCCA
rnacentral:rRNA from 1 species